UGAUCCAGCCAUGCCGCGUGUGUGAAGAAGGCUUUCGGGUUGUAAAGCACUUUCAGCGAGGAAGAAAGCCUCUGGAUUAAUACCCCAGAGGAAGGACAUCACUCGCAGAAGAAGCACCGGCUAACUCCGUGCCAGCAGCCGCGGUAAUACGGAGGGUGCGAGCGUUAAUCGGAAUUACUGGGCGUAAAGCGCGCGUAGGUGGCUUGGCACGCCGGUUGUGAAAGCCCCGGGCUCAACCUGGGAACGGCAUCCGGAACGGCCAGGCUAGAGUGCAGGAGAGGAAGGUAGAAUUCCCGGUGUAGCGGUGAAAUGCGUAGAGAUCGGGAGGAAUACCAGUGGCGAAGGCGGCCUUCUGGCCUGACACUGACACUGAGGUGCGAAAGCGUGGGUAGCAAACAGGAUUAGAUACCCUGGUAGUCCACGCCGUAAACGAUGUCGACUAGCCGUUGGGACCUUUAAGGACUUAGUGGCGCAGUUAACGCGAUAAGUCGACCGCCUGGGGAGUACGGCCGCAAGGUUAAAACUCAAAUGAAUUGACGGGGGCCCGCACAAGCGGUGGAGCAUGUGGUUUAAUUCGAUGCAACGCGAAGAACCUUACCUACCCUUGACAUCCAGAGAAGUUGGCAGAGAUGCCUUCGUGCCUUCGGGAACUCUGAGACAGGUGCUGCAUGGCUGUCGUCAGCUCGUGUUGUGAAAUGUUGGGUUAAGUCCCGUAACGAGCGCAACCCUUGUCCUUAUUUGCCAGCGAGUAAAGUCGGGAACUCUAAGGAGACUGCCGGUGACAAACCGGAGGAAGGUGGGGACGACGUCAAGUCAUCAU
rnacentral:rRNA from 1 species